rnacentral:tRNA from 1 species
CUCUUGUCUAGCUUAAAGGUUAAAGCGUUGAUUUGAAGCGUCAAAGUUACUUCUGUGGCAGGAGG